AGCAGCCGCGGUAAUUCCAGCUCCAAUAGCGUAUAUUAAAGUUGUUGCAGUUAAAAAGCUCGUAGUUGAAUUUCGGGGUCAGUAGUUUGGUCGUGCCAACGGUAUGUACUGGACUCACUGAUUCCUCCUUCCUGAUGAACUGUAAUGCCAUUAAUUUGGUGUUGCAGGGAAACUGGACUGUUACUUUGAAAAAAUUGAGUGUUUAAAGCAAGCUAACGCUUGAAUACAUUAGCAUGGAAUAAUGAAAUAGGACGUUCGAUCCUAUUUUGUUGGUUUCUAGGAUUGACGUAAUGAUUAAUAGGGAUAGUUGGGGGCAUUAGUAUUCAAUUGUCAGAGGUGAAAUUCUUGGAUUUAUUGAAGACUAACUACUGCGAAAGCAUUUGCCAAGGAUGUUUUCAUUAAUCAAGAACGAAAGUUA
rnacentral:rRNA from 1 species